rnacentral:lncRNA from 1 species
UUAAGCUUUAACAUUAAGCUUUAAGGAAAAUGUUAGCAUUAAAUAAUAUAUGUUAGACAGAUAAUGAUGUAGGUAUCAAGUAAUGUUAACAAUGACAUAUAUCUAAUUUCUGGUUUAUAUGAGUUGUUAGUGAAUAAACUUGUUUAUGAAAAAAAUUAUAACUAACAAGUAACAAAAGCAGUGACCUCCACAUGCACGAACAGGGGCAGGGCAGCAGAGCAACACUUCACGCACUAUCAUGACAACUUGUUCCCAGCGAACGAAGAGAAGGAAUACUUAUUAGUAAUGACAGGAAUGACAGCAAGCAAACAGCCGGGAACUUGAAGAACGC